rnacentral:rRNA from 1 species
GUAGGGAAUCUUGCGCAAUGGGCGAAAGCCUGACGCAGCCAUGCCGCGUGAAUGAUGAAGGUCUUAGGAUUGUAAAAUUCUUUCACCGGGGACGAUAAUGACGGUACCCGGAGAAGAAGCCCCGGCUAACUUCGUGCCAGCAGCCGCGGUAAUACGAAGGGGGCUAGCGUUGCUCGGAAUUACUGGGCGUAAAGGGAGCGUAGGCGGAUAGUUUAGUCAGAGGUGAAAGCCCAGGGCUCAACCUUGGAAUUGCCUUUGAUACUGGCUAUCGUGAGUAUGGAAGAGGUAUGUGGAACUCCGAGUGUAGAGGUGAAAGUCGUAGAUAUUCGGAAGAACACCAGUGGCGAAGGCGACAUACUGGUCCAUUACUGACGCUGAGGCUCGAAAGCGUGGGGAGCAAACAGGAUUAGAUACCCGUGUAGUCC